UGGGGAAUAUUGCACAAUGGGCGAAAACCUGAUGCAGCGACGCCGCGUGAGGGAUGACGGCCUUCGGGUUGUAAACCUCUUUCGACAGGGACGAAGCGCAAGUGACGGUACCUGUAGAAGAAGCACCGGCCAGCUACGUGCCAGCAGCCGCGGUAAUACGUAGGGUGCGAGCGUUGUCCGGAAUUACUGGGCGUAAAGAGCUUGUAGGCGGUUUGUCGCGUCGUCUGUGAAAACUCACAGCUCAACUGUGAGCUUGCAGGCGAUACGGGCAGACUUGAGUACUGCAGGGGAGACUGGAAUUCCUGGUGUAGCGGUGAAAUGCGCAGAUAUCAGGAGGAACACCGGUGGCGAAGGCGGGUCUCUGGGCAGUAACUGACGCUGAGAAGCGAAAGCGUGGGUAGCGAACAGGAUUAGAUACCCUGGUAGUCCACGCCGUANCGGUGGGUACUAGGUGUGGGUUUCCUUCCACGGGAUCCGUGCCGUAGCUAACGCAUUAAGUACCCCGCCUGGGGAGUACGGCCGCAAGGCUA
rnacentral:rRNA from 1 species